AUUAAGGUUUACACUUUCGUGUUGGUAUUGAAAAAAUAAAAUUAUUUAAACCGAAAAAAAUAAAUCUGGCUGACUAAUCAAGUAAACCAGAAUUUAGAAAGAAUGAAUUAUGCAUAUUUUAACCUAAGUUUAAUGCAUAUAUAGGAAUAAUUAUAUAGUUAAUUUUGUUUUUGUUGCACAUAAGGUAUUCAAAAUAACAAAAGCAAUCGAUGAGUUCUUCAAGCCGCAAAUUUCUAAAAAGAAAGAGAUCGAAUUUCUCGAUAUUCUCUUAAGAUACCCUCAAUUGAUAUAAAAUGGCGCAAGCCCGAACUUGGCCAGACUUUCGGGUCAGGUUUAAUUUUUCCAACACGAUAGUUGGGCCAUGUUGGGUCCAUAAUACUCCGACCUCGUUGGGUUUUAAUUUUUAAUUGUCUAGAUUUUUUUUUUUUUUGCGAUUUUUUUUUUUUUUUUUUUUUUUUUUUGGAGUGGCCUUCAAUUGGUUUUUAAUGAAUUUGCUAAUAUUUUCAAAACCCUGUAAAUUCCUCCCGUAAGCUCAUCGCUCAUAUACUCAGUACUCUCAGUUUGUCUAUAAUUUAAUUUAAAAUUAGUCCCGAUUUACUUGUCUAUAUUUUCGACUACAACCCGACGUGAAUGCACUGCCCUGAUCAGUUAAAAACUGCAUUUCUUAUUAUGAAUAUAAUAAGUUCAUAUCGUUAUAAAAUAUUUGUCCAGUUGUUAUAUAUAUAAUUUAUUUUGUAAUACUUGUCUACAGUUUUCGUUUUGUAAAUAGUUCAAUUUUAUAUUUUCAUCGGCUAUUGAUAUUACAUUUUUAAAUUAUAUAUUACAUUAAUAGAGGUUUUUAUUGUUUCUCAGAAUAUAAUAAAUCUAUAAGGAAAAUUGAUUCGAAUGCAUAUCUGAUAAAAAUACCACACAAAUAAAAUUUUAAAUACAAGAAGCAAGACUAGGUAAAAGCGUCAAACGUCAUCCACUCCAAUUUUUUUAUUUUUCAACUGGCUUUGCCUGAGGCCUACAAAUGAGAACUAAAUCCAACUAAUUCGAAGAUAAAACUAUAAAAUCGACUGAAAUUAUAUUUUCAAAGACAUGCAAAUCGGAAUUAUUGUUAAAGACAAAAAAUUUGAAUUUGAUAUUGUAAUAAUAAAUUCUGGACGACUUGCUAGGCCCAUUCAUCAUCAUUUUAUGAAAUAGGGUAUUCCAGCUGAGCUAAAAUUGUAAUUUUCUACGUAUCUAUUUAUUUUUAAUUAAAAUUGGUAAAUAUUUCAAUAACAUCGGAACCCACGCCUUAGACGGAGAAAAAACACAUGGAUUGUUCCAAUAUAACUACAAAUUGUGUGGUUAGAAAUGAAAAGAAACAUAAAUGGAAACAGUUAAAGGUCAAUAGUAAUACAAGGCUAUAUGUUCAUGCAAUUGGAAUUUCCAUAAUUUUCAAAUUAAUGUACCGUACCGACUGCAGGGCAAGACAGACAUAUUUUGUCAUCAUAGAUUAUAACAGUUAUCACACAUAAAUGGGAAAAGCGUAAGGAAUAACUUUGUAUUUCUAUUAACCUUGUACAAUACCUAGGGACACCCACAGGGGGGAUGGAGGGGAUAUAGCCCUCUCCAUCACAAAAAAAAAUAAAGGAAUCUUUUCUUUGUACCAUAAUUCUUUUUUCGUCAGAAUGAAAAAAAUUUAUUUCAGGAUUUAUUUUCUAAAAAAAAGUUAUUCGAAUAAAUUAUGCAACAGGCAAAAAAUCAAGCAUCCCCCCCCACCACCACAAUAUAUAUAUAAACUAGAGAUACCCCUGUACCAUUAUUGUGAUACAUUAUUCUGUUUUUACUACGUGAUAGGGAGGACGAACGAGCUUAGAGUCGCAAAGCAUACUGAAAAUACCACGAUUUUUUAAAUACAACUAAGUUCCUAUUAAGACCGAAGGUUUAACGUUUUUUCCGAAUUUGAACGAUUGGAGGACGCUCAUAUUUAUUCACUGAAAUGGGUCAAAAAAUAGGAGAAAAUAAUGUAUUAUCUCGAUCAUUAUGAGCGUCCUUAGCAAAAACAAAAGUUCAAAUCGAUUAAAUAGUUAUGGAGAUAUUACAUCUUUAAACUGGUAUAAAUAGCCAUGUAAACAAAUCUACACUUCUGUCUUGUUUACAUAGGCGCCAUAAGUACAGAUAUGCUAACCUCCUAUUUUUUGUACCCAUUUCAGUGAAUAAAUAAGAGCGUCUUCCAAUCGUAUUGAAUUCAUAUCUCUUUCCAUUGAACUACCAAUAAAUUCAGCCAGUUUUAUUACUUCGUUUAUUCUGUUUAUUCAUCUUGUGAUCCCUGCAAAGGAUCUUUUUAGCCAAAUGCAAGCCUCUCUGUCCAACUUGGAUAAUAUAAAUGAUUCCUCUAUGACGAAUGGUGAAAAAAACAUCAAAUUGUGUGGUUAGACAAUUCAUUGAAAUUAAUCGAUGUACAAAGCACCAUCAACGAUAAUAAUUAUAAUUAUACAUAUAUUCAAGAAAGGAAGAUGUUGUAAUCUUCGGAAAAAAUAUAUAGACAAUAACUUUAAACUUUAUAGACAAUAAGAGAAUGAACGUCAAAAUGUACACCGUUAAUUUUUGUCCCCGUUCGUCCUUCGUUUGUUCAAAAAAAUGAAAAGAAAUCGUUAACGCCUUUCGUUUUUCCGUUCAAUGUUCAAACUUGAGUUCUGGAUAGAAUAACGCCAACCAUUUGAAUAAUAUAGUUUCCAAAACCCUUUAAAGGUUCUGGAUUAAAUUUUUUGAGAUAGAGUAUCGAAAGCUUUAGCAUCAUCAAUUGCCAUUAGCAAUACAUUAUUUUAAGAUUCUAAUAGUGUUUGUAUGGUAAAAAUCAGACCUUUCAAAUGAAACCCACUUUUUUUUCAAAGUAUUUAUAGACAUCAGUUGCAGAUUCAUGUGAAAGUCAUUGUUCUGGAUCGAAAUUUUAUUAUGAGCCUGAUAAUAGUAAAGGAGUGGAUUACAAAUUAAUAAAAUUAAACACAUAAUCUUGAAAAAUAUCUUGUAAUAGUCGAUAAUGUUAAAAGAAUAUGUUAUCCCAAAUAAUCAGAUGGCGAAUAUACAAAUGAUGAAGAAUAUUUCGAUAAAAAGACAGAACUAAGAGAAGAAGUGAAGGUAGGAAAGAAAUCGUUAUGUUGAGGAAAAUGAAUAUUUAUUAAUUAUGUGAUGGAAUAUGGUAAUAUGACAUCUACCCUCUCAAAAACUUCCCCUCCCACCGUCCUUUAAUCCCCACAGCGAGAAUCCCACGUCCUUUUACAACCUAACAUAUCAAUUCCAGAGACAUCUACCUAAUAGAGGCCUUAUGUAAUAUAUGAAUGUUACGGAUGUUUGUAGCGGUUGUUAGGUAAUACAACCUUCAAGUACGAAUCAGAAAUGCCAAGGAUCGUCUUGGGAUAAAAUCCAAUUUAGUGACGGAUCGCUUGAACUUAGUACUGAUCAAAUUUUAUCUGCUGACAAUUUAGCAACGGUUCUGACGAGUGAAGGUUUGAACAAAUACGUCGAUUUGUUUCUACGUCAUGAAAUUGAUCUUCGAACCUUCACAACUUUAACUGAAAAUGAUCUCAAAGAAAUUGGAGUAUGUACUUUCGGAGCUAGAAAAAAAAUUCUCCUUGUAUCUAUGAAACUAAAAAAAAAUUUGAGUGGAGAAAAUUGGUUAUAAUUUUUGUAGUUAUUUUCAUGUCAUAGUUUUUAUAUUAUAUUUACUAAUAUUUGAUUAUUUUUCUUAUUUACUUCAUCUUUGGUUUUCUUAAGCUCUAAACUAGUUACUAUUUAAACAUAUAAACUUAAUGUUUUGUAAGUUUGUAUAGUCAUAAAUGCAUCAUAAAAACAAGCAGAAAUUAUUUUCGUAAAAGUAAAUGAAGGUGCUUAAGUGAUCGAUUAAAUUCUGCUCUUUAAAUUCUGCUUCCAAAUUUUUGGAUUCAAUUAUUAGAAUUAAUGCCAUUAAAUUUAAUCUUAAUUUUUUCUAUCUCAUAUUGCUUUCAAUUCAUUAGUUGACAGAACAUAUGGUAAAUGCUUUGUUACAAAGAUGAGUAGCCAAUAAUUAAGUAUGUUCAAUUAAAAAAAAAAGAAACUUGAAGGUAUUAAUUAACUUUAUUCGAUGUUGGCUUUUCUCCUAAUUUCAGUUACAAUAUUUUCUUACUCGUCAGCGACGGAGUAAUUUGAUUUUUUUUUUUUACUCUACUUUAUUUUUUAUAUCCCUAUAAUUAUAUAGUAUAGCUUGUUAUUGUGGGUUGUGCUUUGUUAAUGUCGCCCCUUAUUUUUCUAA
rnacentral:lncRNA from 1 species